UACGUAGGUGGCAAGCGUUGUCCGGAAUUAUUGGGCGUAAAGCGCGCGCAGGCGGUCCUUUAAGUCUGAUGUGAAAGCCCACGGCUCAACCGUGGAGGGUCCUUGGAAACUGGAGGACUUGAGUACAGAAGAGGAAAGCGGAAUUCCACGUGUAGCGGUGAAAUGCGUAGAGAUGUGGAGGAACACCAGUGGCGAAGGCGGCUUUCUGGUCUGUAACUGACGCUGAGGCGCGAAAGCUAGGGGAGCAAACGGG
rnacentral:rRNA from 1 species